GUGCUUGAUUUAUCAGUACAUAAACUAAAAUUGGAUUGAUAUAGACAAGAUUAGGUUGGCCCUUGUGUAAGUUUGUGAAAUGUUCCAUAUUGAA
ensembl:snRNA U6 U6 spliceosomal RNA